AUGAUCGCAAGGACAUGUGGAGCGCUUAGAAGUGAGAAUGCCGGUGUGAGUAGCGAAAGACGGGUGAGAAUCCCGUCCACCGAUUGACUAAGGUUUCCAGAGGAAGGCUCGUCCGCUCUGGGUUAGUCGGGUCCUAAGCUGAGGCCGACAGGCGUAGGCGAUGGAUAACAGGUUGAUAUUCCUGUACCACCUAGUAUCGUUUUAAUCGAUGGGGGGACGCAGUAGGAUAGGCGAAGCGUGCUGUUGGAGUGCACGUCCAAGCAGUAAGGCUGAGUGUUAGGCAAAUCCGGCACUCAUAAGGCUGAGCUGUGAUGGGGAGAGGAAAUUGUUUCCUCGAGUCGUUGAUUUCACACUGCCGAGAAAAGCCUCUAGAUAGAUAACAGGUGCCCGUACCGCAAACCGACACAGGUAGUCAAGAUGAGAAUUCUAAGGUGAGCGAGCGAACUCUCGUUAAGGAACUCGGCAAAAUGACCCCGUAACUUCGGGAGAAGGGGUGCUCUUUAGGGUUCACGCCCAGAAGAGCCGCAGUGAAUAGGCCCAAGCGACUGUUUAUCAAAAACACAGGUCUCUGCUAAACCGUAAGGUGAUGUAUAGGGGCUGACGCCUGCCCGGUGCUGGAAGGUUAAGAGGAGU
rnacentral:rRNA from 1 species